UACGUAGGCAGCAAGCGUUGUUCGGAGUUACUGGGCGUAAAGGGUGUGUAGGCGGUCUUCUAAGUUUGGUGUGAAAAUCUCCCCGGCUCAACUGGGAGGGUGCGCCGAAAAACUGGGAGGCUAGAGUGCGGGAUGGGAGAGUGGAAUUCCUGGUGUAGCGGUGAAAUGCGUAGAUAUCAGGAGGAACACCUGUGGUGUAGACGGCUCUCUGGACCGCAAACUGACGCUGAGACACGAAAAGCGUGGGUAGCAAACAGG
rnacentral:rRNA from 1 species